rnacentral:rRNA from 1 species
GGUGAAGCGGGGCUUCGGCCCCGUGGAAACUGGCGCACGGGUGAGUAACGCGUGGGAAUCUACCCCGGGGUGGGGAAUAACCGCUGGAAACGGCGGCUAAUACCGCAUACGCCUUGCGAGGGAAAGCUUUAGCGCCCUGGGACGAGCCCGCGUCGGAUUAGCUUGUUGGUGAGGUAACGGCUCACCAAGGCUUCGAUCCGUAGCUGGUCUGAGAGGAUGAUCAGCCACACUGGGACUGAGACACGGCCCAGACUCCUACGGGAGGCAGCAGUGGGGAAUAUUGGACAAUGGGGGCAACCCUGAUCCAGCCAUGCCGCGUGCGUGAAGAAGGCCUUAGGGUUGUAAAGCGCUUUCGGCGGGGAAGAUGAUGACGGUACCCGCAGAAGAAGCUCCGGCUAACUCCGUGCCAGCAGCCGCGGUAAUACGGAGGGGGCUAGCGUUGUUCGGAAUUACUGGGCGUAAAGGGCGCGUAGGCGGAUUGUCAAGUCAGAGGUGAAAGCCCUGGGCUCAACCUGGGAACUGCCUUUGAAACUAACGGUCUAGAGUCCGAGAGAGGAUGGCGGAAUUCCCAGUGUAGAGGUGAAAUUCGUAGAUAUUGGGAAGAA